AUUGAACGCCGGCGGCAUGCCUUACACAUGCAAGUCGAACGGCAGCACGGGUGCUUGCACCUGGUGGCGAGUGGCGAACGGGUGAGUAAUACAUCGGAACGUACCUUAUCGUGGGGGAUAACGCAGCGAAAGCUGUGCUAAUACCGCAUACGCCCUGAGGGGGAAAGCGGGGGAUCGCAAGACCUCGCGCGAUUAGAGCGGCCGAUGUCUGAUUAGCUUGUUGGUGAGGUAAAAGCCCACCAAGGCGACGAUCAGUAGCGGGUCUGAGAGGACGAUCAGCCACACUGGGACUGAGACACGGCCCAGACUCCUACGGGAGGCAGCAGUGGGGAAUUUUGGACAAUGGGGGCAACCCUGAUCCAGCAAUGCCGCGUGAGUGAAGAAGGCCUUCGGGUUGUAAAGCUCUUUUGUCAGGGAAGAAACACCGGCUCUAACACAGUCCGGGAAUGACGGUACCUGAAGAAUAAGCACCGGCUAACUACGUGCCAGCCGCCGCCGUAA
rnacentral:rRNA from 1 species